rnacentral:rRNA from 1 species
AGUGAACGCUGGCGGUAGGCCUAACACAUGCAAGUCGAACGGCAGCACAGUAAGAGCUUGCUCUUACGGGUGGCGAGUGGCGGACGGGUGAGGAAUACAUCGGAAUCUACUUUUUCGUGGGGGAUAACGUAGGGAAACUUACGCUAAUACCGCAUACGACCUACGGGUGAAAGCAGGGGAUCUUCGGACCUCGCGCGAUUGAAUGAGCCGAUGUCGGAUUAGCUAGUUGGCGGGGUAAAGGCCCACCAAGGCGACGAUCCGUAGCUGGUCUGAGAGGAUGGUCAGCCACACUGGAACUGAGACACGGUCCAGACUCCUACGGGAGGCAGCAGUGGGGAAUAUUGGACAAUGGGCGCAAGCCUGAUCCAGCCAUACCGCGUGGGUGAAGAAGGCCUUCGGGUUGUAAAGCCCUUUUGUUGGGAAAGAAAAGCAGCAGGUUAAUACCCCGCUGUUCUGACGGUACCCAAAGAAUAAGCACCGGCUAACUUCGUG